GAUGAACGCUAGCUACAGGCUUAACACAUGCAAGUCGAGGGGCAGCAUUUUUCUAGCAAUAGAAGAGAUGGCGACCGGCGCACGGGUGAGUAACACGUAUCCAACCUGCCGAUAACUCCGGAAUAGCCUUUCGAAAGAAAGAUUAAUACCGGAUGGCAUACGAAUAUCGCAUGAUAUUUUAUUAAAGAAUUUCGGUUAUCGAUGGGGAUGCGUUCCAUUAGUUUGUUGGCGGGGUAACGGCCCACCAAGACUACGAUGGAUAGGGGUUCUGAGAGGAAGGUCCCCCACAUUGGAACUGAGACACGGUCCAAACUCCUACGGGAGGCAGCAGUGAGGAAUAUUGGUCAAUGGGCGAGAGCCUGAACCAGCCAAGUAGCGUGAAGGAUGAAGGCUCUAUGGGUCGUAAACUUCUUUAGACGCAGAGCAAUAAGGUCCACGUGUGGACCGAUGAGAGUAUGCGUAGAAUAAGCAUCGGCUAACUCCGUGCCAGCAG
rnacentral:rRNA from 1 species